UACACGUCCGCAUUGUGUUAGCAAGUUUAGCUUCGGCUAUCCUGUCAAAAGAUAGCCAUUGAAUUACAUUAUGUAAAGGCUUAGUGACUAAAGUCCCCAAUGUAUUGUCACCACGAACAGAGAUAAUGUAGUUUUUCCAGCUUACUCACCCCUUUCUCAAAGAGGACAAGCUAAAUAGAAAGUUAACGCUACAGCAGCAAAACAAGGAAACGUAUUUCAAUAUAUGCCUGCAGUGCUUUAAUAUACCAGCAGGUGUCAGCAUGCAGCUGGUCAUGGAUGGCCGGUCCUUUCUUGAAGCAAAACUACAGUGGAAAAUGUGUGCCAUGCGGCACAUACAUCUGGAGACGCAAACGUCAAGAGGGGUUUGUUAUGUGGGACCAACCAGAAGUUCUCCCGUUCCCUGCUCUAAGGUCACAAACUAUUACCGGGGGAGUGGGUCCCUGGGGAAAAGCAGACCCUGAGUUAAAGACGGGGGGGUGUGGACGUACCGCUCGAUAUCGCAGUGUGAACCGAGCGUGGAGCAGCAGAACCCUUGGUGGGGAGCCAUUUGGAAGCAAAACAAG
ensembl:lncRNA